UUAGGAGGGCAAGUCUGGUGCCAGCAGCCGCGGUAAUUCCAGCUCCAAUAGCGUAUAUUAAAGUUGUUGCAGUUAAAAAGCUCGUAGUUGAAUUUCGGGAUCAGACUGUCGGUCGUGCCUCGGUACGCACUGGCAUUAUUGGUUCCUACCUUCUGAAGAACCGCGAUGUCAUUAAUUUGGUGUCGCGGGGAAUCAGGACUGUUACUUUGAAAAAAUUAGAGUGUUUAAAGCAGGCGCACGCUUGAAUACAUUAGCAUGGAAUAAUGAAAUAGGACGUUUGAUUCUAUUUUGUUGGUUUCUAGGAUCGACGUAAUGAUUAAUAGGGAUAGUUGGGGGCAUUAGUAUUCAAUUGUCAGAGGUGAAAUUCUUGGAUUUAUUGAAGACUAACUACUGCGAAAGCAUUUGCCAAGGAUGUUUUCAUUAAUCAAGAACGAAAGUUAGGGGAUCGAAGACGAUCAGAUACCGUCGUAGUCUUAACCAUAAACUAUGCCGACUAGGGAUCGGAUGAUGUUAAUUUUAUAAUGACUCAUUCGGCGCCUUACGGGAAAC
rnacentral:rRNA from 1 species